rnacentral:tRNA from 1 species
GCCUGGGUGGCUCAGUCGGUUAAGUGUCUGACUUCGGCUCAGGUCAUGAUCUCACAGUUCGUGGGUUCAAGUCCUGCGUCGGGCU